GAUGAACACUGGCGGCGUGCUUAACACAUGCAAGUCGAACGGAAAGGCCACAGCUUGCUGUGGUACUCGAGUGGCGAACGGGUGAGUAACACGUGGGUGAUCUGCCCUGUACUUCGGGAUAAGCUUGGGAAACUGGGUCUAAUACCGGAUAGGAAUCACAUGUGGGUGUGUGGUUGGAAAGCUUUUGCGGUAUGGGAUGAGCUCGCGGCCUAUCAGCUUGUUGGUGGGGUAAUGGCCUACCAAGGCGUCGACGCGUAGCCGGCCUGAGAGGGUGUACGGCCACAUUGGGACUGAGAUACGGCCCAGACUCCUACGGGAGGCAGCAGUGGGGAAUAUUGCACAAUGGGCGCAAGCCUGAUGCAGCGACGCCGCGUGGGGGAUGACGGCCUUCGGGUUGUAAACUCCUUUCGUCAGGGACGAAGCGAAAGUGACGGUACCUGGAGAAGAAGCACCGGCUAACUACGUG
rnacentral:rRNA from 1 species